rnacentral:rRNA from 1 species
CACGUAGGGCGCAAGCGUUGUCCGGAAUUAUUGGGCGUAAAGAGCUCGUAGGCGGUCUGUUGCGUCCGCUGUGAAAACUCGGGGCUUAACCCCGAGCCUGCAGUGGAUACGGGCAGACUAGAGGUAGGUAGGGGAGAAUGGAAUUCCCGGUGUAGCGGUGAAAUGCGCAGAUAUCGGGAGGAACACCGGUGGCGAAGGCGGUUCUGGGCCGAUACUGACGCUGAGGAGCGAAAGCGUGGGGAGCGAACAGG